rnacentral:misc_RNA from 1 species
GUAGGUGAACCUGCGGAAGGAUCAUUAUUGAAUGAACUUGGUGUGGGUUGUAGCUGGCUCUCUAGGGAGCAUGUGCACACCGACCAUCUUUAUCUCUCCACCUGUGCACCUUUUGUAGACCUGGGCAAUACUUUCCGAGGCAACUCGGUCGGGGAGGACUGCUGUUUAAUACCAGCUUUCCUUGCAUUUCCAGGCCUACGUUUUC